UGUUUUUGUUAUUGUGACUCUCUCUCUCUUAAAGACAAAAAGACCUCUCAAAUGCUUCUCUUAUAAGCCCCCCGUUCUUUCCCUUUCUUCGCCGGCAACCUCGAUUUCACCGGAACAUCGUUUUCGAUCACCGGAUUCAAUUUCCCUAAUCGAAUCUAUACAUAGCCAUAUUUGGUUUUUUUUUUUUUUUUUUUUUUUGGUUAUCUGUAUACACUCGUACGAAAAUUUGAUUUCAAAUUAGCGAAUUGAGGGCGAUAUAAAAAGUUUAUAACUUGAUACUACCACUACUGCUAAUAAUAAUAAUAAUAAUUAACAAUCAAUGGAGGAUUAUGGAGGGAGCGAUGAGGAGUAUUAUUACUCAUCAGAUGAUCGAGAGUCGCUGGAUGGUAUUGAAAAUGAGGAAUCUGAUUUUCAUUGGGCCCCCCCUAAAGGUCCCACUACCAAGAUAAUUACCAAGGAAUCCCUCUUGGCUGCUCAGAGGGAAGAUUUGCGUAGAGUAAUGGAACUACUAUCUCUUAGAGAACACCAUGCAAGGACCUUAUUAAUACAUUAUCGUUGGGAUGUUGAAAGGCUGUUUGCUGUGUUCGUUGAGAAAGGGAAAACCUUCUUGUUUACUGAAGCAGGUGUUACUGGGGUUGAGCAACUAGAUAGGGAUGCACCACUAACUUCUUCUUCUAUAAUAAUGUGUGAUAUAUGCAUAGAGGAUGUACCUGGCAAUAGAGCUACAAGAAUGGACUGCAGCCAUUGCUUUUGUAAUGAUUGUUGGACGGAGCACUUCAUCGUGAAGAUAAAUGAGGGUCAAAGCAGGCGCAUCCAGUGCAUGGCUCACAAAUGUAAUGCUAUCUGUGAUGAAGCUGUUGUCAGAAAUCUAGUCAGUAAAAGGCAUCCUGAUUUGGCUGAGAGAUUUGAUCGUUUUCUUCUUGAGUCUUACAUAGAGGACAACAAAAUGGUCAAAUGGUGCCCAAGCGCUCCUCAUUGUGGGAAUGCUAUACGAGUUGAAGAAGAUGAAUGUUGUGAGGUAGAAUGUUCAUGUGGUUUACAGUUUUGUUUCAGUUGCUUGUCAGAAGCACACUCGCCUUGUUCAUGUUUGAUGUGGGAGCUCUGGAGCAAGAAGUGUCGGGAUGAAUCUGAAACAGUUAAUUGGAUCACAGUUCAUACAAAGCCUUGCCCUAAAUGUCACAAACCAGUCGAGAAGAAUGGUGGCUGCAACCUCGUGAGCUGUAUUUGUGGUCAAGCAUUUUGUUGGUUGUGUGGUGGAGCUACUGGGAAGGACCACACAUGGUCAAGAAUAUCUGGACAUAGUUGUGGUCGCUAUAAAGAAGACAGAGAGAAGAAAACAGAACGAGCAAAACGAGAUCUCUAUCGAUAUAUGCACUAUCAUAACCGCUAUAAAGCUCACACGGAUUCCUUUAAGCUAGAAACUAAACUUAAGGAGACAAUCCUGGAGAAGGUGUCGAUAUCAGAAGAAAAGGAAUCCAGACUCAGAGAUUUCAGCUGGGUAACCAAUGGACUCUGUAGACUUUUCAGAUCAAGACGAGUUCUUUCAUAUUCAUACCCCUUUGCGUUUUAUAUGUUUGGCGAUGAGCUGUUUAAUGAUGAGAUGACAGUGGAAGAAAGAGAAAUUAAACAGAAUCUGUUUGAGGAUCAGCAACAGCAGCUUGAGUCAAAUGUUGAAAAACUCUCCAAGUUCCUGGAGGAACCCUUUGAGCAAUAUACUGAUGAUAAAGUUAUGGAGAUAAGAAUGCAAGUGAUCAAUUUAUGUGCAAUCACUGAUACUCUUUGUAAGAAAAUGUAUGAGUGCAUAGAAAAUGAUCUGUUGGGCUCUCUCCAACUGGGCACCCACAAUAUAGCUCCCUACAAGUCAAAGGGCAUUGAGAAGGCUUCAGAACUUUCUUCUUGUUGGAGCAACAAAGUCAAUGCUACAGAUAAAUGCCUACCAUCAGAUGGCAAUACAAGUGCAUUGAUGCACUGCGUUAUAGGUGGAUCAUCAGAACAUGAUAGGCCUUCAGGAUCUAGGAGUUCAGAUGAUAGCGGCUGUUCUUCUCGGAAGCGUGCUAGAAAGGAAGGUGGUGGCUUUUUUGAUUUGAACUUGCCGGCAGAGAUAAUGGAUAGGAAUUGAAUUCAGAGAUUGCAGAGUAAAGAUAUAAGUAAAAAGUGUACAGCUCUAACUCAAGACCCUCUUCUUAUUCUUGGAAUUAUCAUAUUCCUGGAUUAAGCACCAGACUGGCAACUGGAAUUAAAAAAAGGAAGGGGGGCUCAAAGACCAACAGAAGAUGCUUCUUAAUUUGCUCGUCAUUGGCAUUGACUAAGCUGCCACUUUUAUCUUGGGAAACUCGACUAAUUUUGUUCGUCUCUGGCUCGGUUGUGAUUGUGCGUUUCUAAGCUUUAUUUUGUCUCUUCCUAGGCGACGGUAGUCUGAAAGAUUUGCUUCGGCUUCGUUGCAAGAAACUAAGUUGCCUGGGCGGGUUUCGCACUCAUGUUUGUUUCUCAUCUUGUGAAACUCAUGCACCUGCAUGUAUUUGACCCUAGCGAAGCGACUUCAACAUUCACAGAAGCGUCUUUCAUAUACUGUCCUUCAAUAUUUUAUAGAUUAAUUUUCUCAAGGACAAAUUCAAACUUCAAACAUACUCUGUUGCCAGAAAUAAUGAAGAGGCAUGCAUUUGCAGAAAUAACAAACUAGAAGGUCGGUGCAUUUGCACACCGGGUCCACCUCAUGAUCAAGAGGCAUGGACAUAUAUAGGCACUAUGUGCAAAUAAUUCGUCUCCAUUGUCUCUUGCUCUAUUCUGGAUUCCAUGUUCAAGUUUUUCUCGCUCAGUUUAUGAUUCUACAGAAAUAAAUAAGUACUGUUUUAAUAGUUUGAUAUUGAUAUGUUGCACACAGAAAAGUGUGCAUCCUGUAAAGUAAACCAAUGGUUAUAUUAUAUAUUAAGUUGCUGUUGUUUUUGCACAGAAUCAAA